rnacentral:rRNA from 1 species
GAUGAACGCUGGCGGCGUGCCUAAUACAUGCAAGUCGAGCGAACAGACGAGGAGCUUGCUCCUCUGACGUUAGCGGCGGACGGGUGAGUAACACGUGUAUAACCUACCUAUAAGACUGGGAUAACUUCGGGAAACCGGAGCUAAUACCGGAUAAUAUAUUGAACCGCAUGGUUCAAUAGUGAAAGACGGUUUUGCUGUCUCUUAUAGAUGGAUCCGCGCCGCAUUAGCUAGUUGGUAAGGUAACGGCUUACCAAGGCAACGAUGCGUAGACGACCUGAGAGGGUGAUCGGCCACACUGGGACUGAGACACGGUCCAGACUCCUACGGGAGGCAGCAGUAGGGAAUCUUCCGCAAUGGGCGAAAGCCUGACGGAGCAACGCCGCGUGAGUGAUGAAGGUCUUCGGAUCGUAAAACUCUGUUAUUAGGGAAGAACAAAUGUGUAAGUAACUAUGCACGUCUUGACGGUACCUAAUCAGAAAGCCACGGCUAACUACGUG